rnacentral:lncRNA from 1 species
UUAAAACUGAUUUAAUACGAAGACGGCAUAAGAUAAUCAAACCAGGUAAUAAAACAAUUCACUCUAUGGAUCCUAUGGGAGAACAGAUAAAUUCCAUCAAAAAAGAAGAAGUGAAAUGGAAUAGUUGUUACUUACAACAAAG